CCUACGGGAGGCAGCAGUGGGGAAUAUUGGGCAAUGGAGGAAACUCUGACCCAGCGACGCCGCGUGCGGGAUGAAGGCCUUCGGGUUGUAAACCGCUUUCAGCAGGGAAGAAGCGAAAGUGACGGUACCUGCAGAAGAAGCACCGGCUAACUAUGUGCCAGCAGCCGCGGUAAUACAUAGGGUGCAGGCGUUGUCCGGAAUUAUUGGGCGUAAAGAGCUCGUAGGUGGUUCGUCACGUCGGAUGUGAAAAUCUGGGGCUUAACCCCAGACCUGCAUUCGAUACGGGCGAGCUUGAGUAUGGUAGGGGAGUCUGGAAUUCCUGGUGUAGCGGUGGAAUGCGCAGAUAUCAGGAGGAACACCAAUGGCGAAGGCAGGACUCUGGGCCAUUACUGACACUGAGGAGCGAAAGCGUGGGGAGCGAACAGGAUUAGAUACCCUGGUAGUCCACGCCGUAAACGGUGGGCACUAGUUGUGGGGACCUUCCACGGUCUCUGCGACGCAGCUAACGCAUUAAGUGCCCCGCCUGGGGAGUACGAUCGCAAGNUUAAAACUCAAAGGAAUUGACGG
rnacentral:rRNA from 1 species